rnacentral:lncRNA from 1 species
CCUCUGACCCCAUGACCCCCCGUUGCCCCCCCAGCCGUGCCGGCGCUGCCGUGCGCCGCCGUGUCACCGCGCGACUGCCACGACGUGCACGCGGGGGGGGCGCAGAGCGACGGCGUCUACCUGGUGUAUCCCAUGGGGCCCGGCCUCCCGGUGCCCGUCUACUGCGACAUGAGCACGGACGGACACGUCUGGACGGUGUUCCAGAAGCGUUUCAACGGCUCCGUCAGUUUCUUCCGGGGUUGGAACGAUUAUCGCUACGGCUUCGGGCGCGCCGACGGCGAGUAUUGGCUGGGUGAGGUCACGUGACACCCCUGGGAGCCCACCCGCACCCAUCGGCACCCAUGGGCACCCAUAGAACCCAUCGGCACCCAUUGGAUCCCAUUGGAUCCCAUAGAACCCAUGGGAAUCCAUCAGCACCCAUUGGAUUCCAUUGGAUCCCAUUGGCACCCAUAGAACCCAUGGGCACCCAUGGGAACCCAUCGGCACCCAUUGGAUCCCAUUGGCACCCAUAGAACCCAUUGGAUCCCAUUGGCACCCAUCGGCACCCAUAGAACCCAUAGAACCCAUCGGCACCCAUUGGAUCCCAUUGGAUCCCAUUGGCACCCAUAGAACCCAUGGGAACCCAUUGGCACCCAUCAGCACCCAUAGAACCCGUCAGCACCCAUUGGAUCGCAUUGGCACCCAUAGAACCCAUGGGAACCCAUCAGCACCCAUCGGAUCCCAUUCGCACCCAUGGGAACCCAUCAGCACCCAUCGGAUCCCAUUGGCACCCAUGGGAACCCAUCAGCACCCAUAGAACCCAUAGAACUCGUACUGUGACCCCAGAGUGACCCCAGAGUGACCCCAUAGUGACCCCAUAGUGACCCCUAUUGUGUCCCCACGAUGUCNNNNNNNNNNNNNNNNNNNNNNNNNNNNNNNNNNNNNNNNNNNNNNNNNNNNCCCAUCGGAUCCCAUUGGCACCCAUGGGAACCCAUCAGCACCCAUUGGAUCCAAUGGCACCCAUAGAACCCAUAGAACUCGUACUGUGACCCCAGAGUGACCCCAAAGUGACCCCAGAGUGACCCCAUAGUGACCCCAUAGUGACCCAUAGUGACCCCUAUUGUGUCCCCACGAUGUCCCCAUGCUGUGACCCCAUAGUGACCCCAUAGUGACCCAUAGUGACCCCAUAGUGACCCCAUAGUGUCCCAUAGUGACCCCUAUUGUGU